UCCUCGUUUAAGCGAGGCAGUCUGUCCAGAGUGCUUCCAACUCUCGUUGGAGUGGCAACAGGACACAAGGGUUGCGCUCGUUGCGGGACUUAACCCAACAUCUCACGACACGAGCUGACGACAGCCAUGCAGCACCUGUGCACGCUUCCCUUGCGGGAUCGUUACCCUUUCAGGCUCCUACCACGUGCAUGUCAAGGCCAGGUAAGGUUCUUCGCGUUGCAUCGAAUUAAGCCACAUACUCCACCGCUUGUGCAGGCCCCCGUCAAUUUCUUUGAGUUUCAGCCUUGCGACCGUACUCCCCAGGCGGCAUACUUAACGCGUUAGCUCCGGCACGAACGAAAUGAAUCGCUCACACCAAGUAUGCAUCGUUUAGGGCGUGGACUAC
rnacentral:misc_RNA from 1 species